UACGAAGGGUGCAAACGUUGCUCGGAAUUAUUGGGCGUAAAGCGCACGUAGGCGGCUUAGCAAGUCGGAAGUGAAAUCCCACGGCUCAACCAUGGAAGUGCUUUCGAAACUGGAGAGCUAGGGUUCUGGAGGGGAAAGCGGAAUUCCUGGUGUAGCGGUGAAAUGCGUAGAUAUCAGGAGGAACACCGGUGGCGAAGGCGGCUUUCUGGACAGAUACCGACGCUGAGGCACGAAAGCUAGGGGAGCAAACAGG
rnacentral:rRNA from 1 species